GACGCCGAGUGACAGGUGCAGUUGUGUAUACAAAUUCUCUUCUCUUCGUUUUGACUCCUGUGUUCUCAAGAUUUAUCGUUUAUGACUGGGCCAACUGGUGGUUGGGAGUACUCAAGCUGUUCAGUGAUUAUGGUAAAGACAACCCUGUCAAAUUCUGCUUCACCAUUACCAUCUUGCAGAGCUCGUUCCUUUGGAUUAUACCUGCAAUGGUAUAAAUACAAUUUAGAUUUUUAUCUUCUGUAAUAGUAAGUUCCAUCUGUUAUGUAACGCGUGAAGCUAUUAAGAGAUAGUAGAAACAAGAAUAAGUAUAUAAUGCUUGUCGUAAUAUGUAUGCUUGUCGCAAUAUAUAUGCUUGUCGUAACGAUUACAGUGUACAAUACUUUAUUAUACUAAUUUUAUAUGAAAUAAGGUUACUGCACUUUGGAAAUACGUGGCCGCAGCAUGGUAAGCAUUUAGCUCCGAGUUUACCGCUUAUGGGGGCAGUACAUGCAGCGCCAUCUCUUUGACAAGCGAUGAACCCGCUCGACUACCUCCUGGAGCUCAUACGCGCACUGUACUGCAGUGCCGCACGCUCACGGAAUUUAUCGUCGCUGAUCCUUCCCUUUAGUAAAAAGGUAGGGAAGCAAAUUUUAUCGCAGAAGACAGUAGCGUUGAAGAAAAAUUAAGUCGGGAGAUGGAUGCUAAAUGAAUGAGGGAUGAAAUAAGGAAAGACGGUGGAAAUAAUGGCAGGGAAUAUAAAGGAUAGCCGAAGACGGUGUCGAAGCAUAUAAAGAGAAGAAUGCAGUUAGGACGGAGGAGAGUAUGUGACAGACAGAACUCAAUCGUACUCUGGGAUAUUCACAGAGGACAAAGGCAUAUCAACGCGUACCAUUACUUUGGACGUUUCCUUUUUCAAGGGACAUUUUAACAACUUAGUUUCCAAGGACAUACUUGGAGGAGAGUGAGGCAAAUGGAAACGAGCGGCAAAUUUUAUCGAAGGUUUCUGUGCUGCAGAUGAAUAAAAUAGUGGGUAAAGAAAAAGAAGCAACACUAAAGCUGAUGAAUAGGUUACUGCAAAAAGCAAUCACUAAUCAACAAAGAAGGAGUUUACAAGAUGUAUGAAAUUAUCGAUUGACACUGUUAAUAGUUAACACUAAACAUACCGACAAUUUUUUAUAAACGUAUUUUUGGCUUCAAAAGGGUCAAAUGACCCAUCGAUGGUACGAUUAGUGUUAAUUCAAAUUGAAUAUUAAUAAAUUAAGUGUUUGGAAUAUUAAAAUAAUGAAAUCAACAAAGUUAGAUGUUAACACUUGGAAAUCAGAAAUGCUGGCGAAGAAUAUUCAGAAGUAAUGGAAAUUGCCGUGGCGCAGGACUCUAGAGUGGGGGAAGUGUGGGGGGGAGCGCUCGAGGCAGUGCCCGGACUCCGAGCGCUCAUUCUUCCUCGAGCCGGUCUCCUAUACUGGUCUCUUGGAAUCAUUUCAAUUAUCCCUUUGCAACCUUCUUGUCUUUCUAUAUUUAUUUCUUCUUUACUUCCUUCUUUCUUUAUAUUUCAUUCUUUACUUUCUUAUUUAUCUCUUUCCUUAUUUCUUCUCAACUUUCAUAACUCUAUUCCUCACUUUUCUACU